UAACCAUUGGUUAAAAUUUAACCUGCUGUUUUAACAGCAGGUUAAAUUUUAACCAAUGGUUAG
rnacentral:miRNA from 1 species